GAACCGCGCAACAAUAACAGUUCAUACACGUUCAACAGUUCAACAAAUAGUGGUUUUCGCAGUAUGUACUAACAAGUUCCGAGCGAGAUUCGAUGGUUAAUUCUACUCGUAUUUAAGCCGCGUAACAAACGCACGAUCGGAAACAUGAAAACUCGCACGUUCCAUUUUGUAACCGUUAUCAAAAUUUCCAUGUUCCGUACCUUAUUAUAGAGUCAAACCUCACUCUGUUCCACAUUUCAACCUUGAAAAAAAAAAUUGUUCACACGAUGAAACGGAAAUCUUAAUUUUCUCGACGGCAGUUUUGAGUUUAUUAGCCUAAAUCCAACGUGA